CCUACGGGCGGCAGCAGUGAGGAAUAUUGGUCAAUGGGCGAGAGCCUGAACCAGCCAAGUCGCGUGAGGGAGUACUGCCCUAUGGGUUGUAAACCUCUUUUGUCGGGGAGCAAAAGCCGGACGUGUCCGGCUGUGAGAGUACCCGACGAAAAAGCAUCGGCUAACUCCGUGCCAGCAGCCGCGGUAAUACGGAGGAUGCGAGCGUUAUCCGGAUUUAUUGGGUUUAAAGGGUGCGCAGGCGGAUUUUUAAGUCAGCGGUAAAAUCGUGGGGCUCAACCCCAUCCAGCCGUUGAAACUGGGGAUCUAGAGUGUGCGAGAGGUAUGCGGAAUGCGUGGUGUAGCGGUGAAAUGCAUAGAUAUCACGCAGAACCCCGAUUGCGAAGGCAGCAUACCGGUGCACAACUGACGCUCAGGCACGAAAGCGUGGGUAUCGAACAGGAUUAGAUACCCGGGUAGUC
rnacentral:rRNA from 1 species